CCUGUCGCAAUAACAUUUCCAGAAAUAAAGGCUGAACCUGAGGGUAAUUUGAAUGAACUUCAACCCAUGCAUGGUGAGGAUCGACACUAUUCCUGUGAUGAGUGUGGUGAAUCAUUCAGUCGGCAGAGUCAUCAGAA